rnacentral:ribozyme from 1 species
UUUUUUUUUUUUUUUUUUUUUUUUUUUUUUUUUUUUA